AUCAACUUUCGAUGGUAGGAUAGAGGCCUACCAUGGUGGUAACGGGUAACGGGGUGUUAGGGCACGACACCGGAGAGGGAGCCUGAGAAACGGCUACCACAUCCAAGGAUGGCAGCAGGCGCGCAAAUUACCCAAUCCCGACACGGGGAGGUAGUGACAAUAAAUAACAAUACGGGGUUCUUUAGGAUCUCGUAAUUGGAAUGAGUACAAUUUAAAUCUCUUAACGAGGAACAAUUGGAGGGCAAGUCUGGUGCCAGCAGCCGCGGUAAUUCCAGCUCCAAUAGCGUAUAUUAAAGUUGUUGCAGUUAAAAAGCUCGUAGUUGAAUUUCGGGGUUAGUAGGUUGGUCAUGCCUCUGGUAUGUACUGGUCUCACUGAUUCCUCCUUCCUGAUGAGCCGUAAUGCCAUUAAUUUGGUGUUGCGGGGAAUUUGGACUGUUACUUUGAAAAAAUUAGAGUGUUUAAAGCAAGCUAACGCUUGAAUACAUUAGCAUGGAAUAAUGAAAUAGGACGUUCGAUCCUAUUUUGUUGGUUUCUAGGAUUGACGUAAUGAUUAAUAGGGAUAGUUGGGGGCAUUAGUAUUCAAUUGUCAGAGGUGAAAUUCUUGGAUUUAUUGAAGACUAACUACUGCGAAAGCAUUUGCCAAGGAUGUUUUCAUUAAUCAAGAACGAAAGUUAGGGGAUCGAAGACGAUCAGAUACCGUCGUAGUCUUAACCAUAAACUAUGCCGACUAGGGGAUCGGAUGAUGUUAAUUUUUUAUGACUCAUUCGGCGCCUUACGGGGAAAACAAAAGUGUUUGGGUUC
rnacentral:rRNA from 1 species